rnacentral:rRNA from 1 species
UACGGGGGGGGCAAGCGUUGUUCGGAAUUACUGGGCGUAAAGGGUUCGUAGGUGGCCAACUAAGUCAGACGUGAAAUCCCUCAGCUUAACUGGGGAACUGCAUCUGAUACUGGUGUGGCUUGAGUGCAGGAGAGGAACGCGGAAUUCCAGGUGUAGCGGUGAAAUGCGUAGAUAUCUGGAGGAACACCGGUGGCGAAGGCGGCGUUCUGGACUGCAACUGACACUGAGGAACGAAAGCCAGGGGAGCAAACGGG